rnacentral:rRNA from 1 species
CGCAAUCUACCCAUAACUGAUGAAUAGCCCUCCGAAAGGAGGAUUAAUACAUCGUAACCUACUGAAGUGGCAUCACUAUAGUAGUAUAGCUCCGGCGGUUUUGGAUGAGCGUGCGGCCCAUUAGGUAGUUGGUUGAGGUAACGGCUCACCAAGCCUGCGAUGGGUAACUGGUGUGAGAGCACGACCAGUCACACGGGCACUGAGACACGGGCUCGACUCCUACGGGAGGCAGCAGUAAGGAAUAUUGGUCAAUGGACGCAAGUCUGAACCAGCCAUGCCGCGUGAAGGAUGAAGGCCCUCUGGGUUGUAAACUUCUUUUAUAUGGGACGAAAUGCAGUUAUUCUUAAUUGUUUGACGGUACCAUAGGAAUAAGCACCGGCUAACUCCGUGCCAGCAGCCGCGGUAAUACGGAGGGUGCAAGCGUUAUCCGGAUUCACUGGGUUUAAAGGGUGCGUAGGUGGGCCUGUAAGUCAGUGGUGAAAUCUCCGUGCUUAACACGGAAACUGCCAUUGAUACUAUAGGUCUUGAAUUAUCUGGAGGUCAGCGGAAUAUGUCAUGUAGCGGUGAAAUGCUUAGAUAUGACAUA